UCCUUGCUGUAUGGUCACUUAGAGGUGUGAUACAGUGCAAAGAUUGUGCUGCAGAAAAACAUUCUAUGGAGUGUUUUUGGAUUUAUAGCAGCUGCUCAGUUAGCCGUGCGAUAGACUCCUGUUCCCAUCAGGCCAUGGGCAUUCACCUCCCAGUCAGCAUUGCUCUGUGGCUGAAAAUGAACUUCCUCUGCUCAUCUACCCCAUCAGAACUUCUUCUAAUGAACACACACAGAUGUUUUAGUACUGCUGGGCAAAGCGAUCAUUUUCCAGAACAAUUGGCUGAAGGGCACCAGUUAGUUCACCUCAUGAGAACUACAGAAGCUGGUUUAUGCCUCUACACACAACCAUAUUUUAUCUAAAAAAGGGCUGGGCAAAACUAUUGCCCCAUCUCAAGUGAUUUCAGCUUCCAGUGGUUUUUAGCUCUUAGCAGACAGAGAAGAAACACAGUCCUGCCACAACUGAUUUCAGUUCUGAGUGAGCGUUUAAUAUGAAGCCUCCAAUAAAGCCUAUUUAGCUCUUUCUUUGAACAGUGUAUGUGUGGGGAAGGGUUUUAAUAAAUUGAGCCAGUUGAAACAGUGCAUGCAGAACCAUUGGGAAAGGUUUGCAGCCUCCUGACCCAUGCGUAUUGGUCCCAUCAUAUUUCCAGAUACGGUAAAAACAAGAAGGAAAUUAGUGGCACUUGAAAGACUAACACAUUUAUUAGGAUAUUGGAGCAUAAACUUUAAUGAGUUACAUGAUGUGGUGGAAUUUUUAUUAGCGAUUAUCACUUGUCACAGCCAUUUAACUUGAGUUCUUCAGGGCAGAAACCAUUUUUACUUUGUUUGAAAAGAAAGUCAGAAAUUCCUCCAAUUCGAUCCUUUCUGCAGGCUAGACAAUUGCAAGAAUACAGUGUUGCAACAAAUGGGAAUGCAAAUUACAGCCAGAUAUUGAUCAAGUGAAUGAAGAGGAGUAGAAUGACUUCCUUCCUGUGGUACAUAAUGAUUGACUUAGAGGAACUGGUUCAGGAAAAAAUAAUGAGCAAGUUUUUUAAAAAAAAUGGAUCUACAUUUUAUAACAGUAUUCAUUUUGCUUAUGGAAGAAUGAAGUGUUAUAGCAGUGUCAGU